UACAGAGGGUGCGAGCGUUGUUCGGAAUUAUUGGGCGUAAAGCGUGCGCAGGCGGUUUUGUAAGCCAGAUGUGAAAGCCCCGGGCUUAACCUGGGAAUGGCAUUUGGGACUGCAAGGCUUGAGUGCGGCAGAGGAGACUGGAAUUCCCGGUGUAGCAGUGAAAUGCGUAGAUAUCGGGAGGAAUACCGAUGGCGAAGGCAGGUCUCUGGGCUGACACUGACGCUCAUGCACGAAAGCGUGGGGAGCAAACAGG
rnacentral:rRNA from 1 species